rnacentral:rRNA from 1 species
CCUACGGGUGGCAGCAGUAGAGAAUCAUUCACAAUGGGGGAAACCCUGAUGGGGCGACGCCGCGUGGGGGAAUGAAGGUCUGCGGAUUGUAAACCCCUGUCAUGUGGGAGCAAAUUAAAAAGAUAGUACCACAAGAGGAAGAGACGGCUAACUCUGUGCCAGCAGCCGCGGUAAUACAGAGGUCUCAAGCGUUGUUCGGAAUCACUGGGCGUAAAGCGUGCGUAGGCUGUUUCGUAAGUCGUGUGUGAAAGGCGCGGGCUCAACCCGCGGACGGCACAUGAUACUGCGAGACUAGAGUAAUGGAGGGGGAACCGGAAUUCUCGGUGUAGCAGUGAAAUGUGUAGAUAUCGAGAGGAACACUCGUGGCGAAGGCGGGUUCCUGGACAUUAACUGACGCUGAGGCACGAAGGCCAGGGGAGCAAACAGGAUUAGAUACCCGAGUAGUC